rnacentral:rRNA from 1 species
ACGCUCGACACCUACGGAGCAGCAGUGGGGAAUAUUGCACAAUGGGGGAAACCCUGAUGCAGCGACGCCGCGUGAAGGAAGAAGUAUUUCGGUAUGUAAACUUCUAUCAGCAGGGAAGAAGAUGACGGUACCUGAGUAAGAAGCACCGGCUAAAUACGUGCCAGCAGCCGCGGUAAUCUGAGCGGGCUGGCAAGGC